rnacentral:rRNA from 1 species
AUGGCGCGCGGGAAGGUGGCCGAGUGCAUACGGAAGCGUGCGAUGCAGAGGAAGUCAGCGGAGGCGGGGCCGAAGAGCUGGAGCAGCUCCAGCGGGGCGCCUAGCGGGAGCGGGAAUGAUACGUUCGAGUGCGCCGGUGGCGGUGCGUCACCGGCGCACUCGAAGUCCUGGGCGAGCGCCUUCUUGUCGGCACUUUUGCGGUGGCGGCGGCUCGUGAACGUGCUGGCCGUGCUGUGGGAGCAGGUGGUGUACCACAUGAUGUGGCUGGUGGAGUCCGUGGUGUUGGUGGGAAGGCUCUGCUUCUUCCUCAUGCGCUUCGGCUUCAAGCAGCUCUGA